rnacentral:rRNA from 1 species
GCCUACGGGACGCAGCAGUGAGGGAUAUUGGUCAAUGGGGGAAACCCUGAACCAGCAACGCCGCGUGAGGGAAGACGGUUUUCGGAUUGUAAACCUCUGUCCUCUGUGAAGAUAAUGACGGUAGCAGAGGAGGAAGCUCCGGCUAACUACGUGCCAGCAGCCGCGGUAAUACGUAGGAUGCGAGCGUUAUCCGGAUUUAUUGGGUUUAAAGGGUGCGUAGGCGGGUUAUCAAGUCAGCGGUAAAAUCGUGGAGCUCAACUCCAUCCAGCCGUUGAAACUGAUGAUCUUGAGUGGGCGAGAAGUAU